UUACAGAUGCUGCAAACCUUGUCCGCAAUUGCAACCGAAGAUUUUUGGAUGAACCGCAAGAUGAUCGGAUGAAGGCUUUCAGUUGUCCAGGCGAGGCCAGGUGACCAAUGACGAUGAUAGAUCGGGUUCGAUUCAAGCUAUACGCUUGGUGUCUUUGGUUAUCGUGACUGGCGACUUGAGUCUAUCUCAUCUCAUGUCCAAAGCACGGUGGCUGGGUCCCAGGCAUGCUUGCCACUUUGUUCCACGGUCCUCAUCUAAGUUUCGACGGUGAUGACAUGGACUUAGGUUCAAGGAACGUGUUCCCCUUGAGUCAUUGUGGUUGAUUGAUGGGGGCAAUAAACAGUUGCGUGUCGCUAGUCAUUCAAUUGGUCCCCUUGUUUUAGAGUGUUGGCGGGAUAAGUCUUACGACUGUUAACAAUAGUAAGCAAUAGCUGGCCAGCGAUCCCCUACCUGAUCUCGAGGGGGAUGGAAUGACUGGGGAAUAGGCCUGUUGUUAACCUGCGGAAUUUCGUCGGACGAAAUGUCAGGCGUGUCCGUGUGGGACUUGUGCUAAACCAGUUUAGUACAUAUGACGAAGACAUUGGGCUCUUUGAAUAACAACAGUGUCCUUGACCUCCUUGUGCCUCACAACGCUAAUAAUAUACACCCCCUGAAAUCGACAAGACGGCGAAGAAGAAGGAGAGCCGGCCUCCAGCUCGAGAGCCAAGAAGACACUGGAUGGACCCCAAGGAUAUGUUGCUGUCAAUGUUGGAGCCAUACAGGCCCGAGCCAACAUUGUACAAGGGACACAAGGUCCAUGGCCACACGGACAAGGGACACGAGGACAAGGGACACGAGGACAAGGGACACGAGGACAAGGGACACGAGGACAAGGAACACAAAAGAUGAUUUUGCAGUCUACAGGAUUGAGAUGAUGGCUGUCGAGAAGACCCAACCACUCAACCAAGAUCUACAAUUUGUGCUAUGGUAGAUGUGACUCUCAAAGAUUUUGGAUGACGAAGGAAUCCAACGCAUAUAUGUCGCUCACAGAUACGGGCAGACGACUGAGAGUCGAGUGGAUUUAGUGGAUCGAAUGGUUGCGCUGAGGAAUAUUUAUGUGCAGGAGUGACGAUCCACAGUUCAGCAAACGAUGCCUUGACAGACCAAUUCAAGGAGAACUUUCACUAAGAUCAGGAAGGGAACGUGUUUGCUGUGUGGAUGGAUUGGAUACUUAAAUGUCCAUCAUACUAAUAGACUAUAAUGACAAUCUUCUAAUGGACUGUUAUGCCAAUCUUACUCCAAAGGGACUCUCUGGACUUAGGGAAAGCUACGGACAUAGAGCCCGGACAUGAUAUCCUGCAGCCACCACGAGGACAGCCUAUCUCAUACCUUCGGAAGGAUGCCAUCACAUGCAUGAUGAGCCAUCCCACAGAAGGGAGAAGGAUGUUGCUGACCCAGCAUAUCCCAACCAUGCUCCCAUCGCCGUCAAGUAACAGUACGACGGUUAGAUUGUAUUUUGUCACCGUAGGCUUUAUCGUUUUAUCAAAAUAUCUGAUUGAAAGGUGAUUUAAUAAAAAUUCAAA